rnacentral:tRNA from 1 species
GAAGGUAUAGCUCAGUGGUAGAGCGCAUGCUUAGCAUGCACAAGGUCAUGGGUUUGGUCCCCAGUACCUCCA